UACGGAGGGUGCAAGCGUUAUCCGGAUUCACUGGGUUUAAAGGGUGUGUAGGCGGGUUUUAAGUCAGUGGUGAAAUCCUACAGCUUAACUGUAGAACUGCCAUUGAUACUAUUAAUCUUGAAUAUUGUUGAGGUAGGCGGAAUACAUCAUGUAGCGGUGAAAUGCUUAGAUAUGAUGUAGAACACCGAUUGCGAAGGCAGCUUACUAAGCAAAUAUUGACGCUGAGGCACGAAAGCGUGGGGAUCAAACAGG
rnacentral:rRNA from 1 species